AGUAGGGAAUCUUCCACAAUGGACGAAAGUCUGAUGGAGCAACGCCGCGUGAGCGAUGAAGGCCUUCGGGUCGUAAAGCUCUGUUGUUAGGGAAGAACAAGUACCGGAGUAACUGCCGGUACCUUGACGGUACCUAACCAGAAAGCCACGGCUAACUACGUGCCAGCAGCCGCGGUAAUACGUAGGUGGCAAGCGUUGUCCGGAAUUAUUGGGCGUAAAGCGCGCGCAGGCGGUCCUUUAAGUCUGAUGUGAAAGCCCACGGCUCAACCGUGGAGGGUCAUUGGAAACUGGGGGACUUGAGUGCAGAAGAGGAAAGCGGAAUUCCACGUGUAGCGGUGAAAUGCGUAGAGAUGUGGAGGAACACCAGUGGCGAAGGCGGCUUUCUGGUCUGUAACUGACGCUGAGGCGCGAAAGCGUGGGGAGCAAACAGGAUUAGAUACCCUGGUAGUCCACGCCGUAAACGAUGAGUGCUAAGUGUUAGAGGGUUUCCGCCCUUUAGUGCUGCAGCUAACGCAUUAAGCACUCCGCCUGGGGAGUACGGCCGCAAGGCUGAAACUCAAAG
rnacentral:rRNA from 2 species